rnacentral:rRNA from 1 species
GGGCCCGCACAAGCGGUGGAGCAUGUGGUUCAAUUCGAUGCAGAGCGAAGAACCUUACCUGGGCUUGACAUGCAGGAAGUAGAAACCGGAAACGGCGACGACCUGUUAAGUCAGGAACCUGCACAGGUGGUGCAUGGCUGUCGUCAGCUCGUGCCGUGAGGUGUUGGGUUAAGUCCCGCAACGAGCGCAACCCUCACCCUAUGUUGCCAUCGGGUAAUGCCGGGCACUCUUGGGGAACUGCCGGCGAAGAGCUGGAGGAAGGGGGGGAUGACGUCAAGUCCGUAUGCCCCUUAUGUCCAGGGCUACACACAUGCUACAAUGGCCGAUACAGAGGGUUCCCAACCCGCAAGGGGGAGGCAAUCCCACAAAGUCGGUCUCAGUUCGGAUUGCAGGCUGCAACUCGCCUGCAUGAAGUCGGAAUCGCUAGUAAGCGCAGAUCAGCAGGCUGCGCUGAAUACGUUCCCGGGCCUU